AACCAAACAAAAACAAAAGGGAGCCUGUCGUGCCCAGACCAUUCUUGAGGUUUAAGCUGACUUGGGAGACCAGCUCCCAUGGUCACGUUCAGCCAAAGCAGGCUGCUGAGUUGGCUCCAACACUGGGAAAACCCAGGCGACCUCACAGGCAAGAGAAGACUGCAGAUUGCACUCAAGCGGAGACAAGGGGCCGUAGGUGGAAACUGUGCCCCGGAGCGCGUGGGCAGAGCACUCUCUGGCCCCUCCGCAGCCUGGGUGAGAAGACUGGCCUGAAACAAGCCUUCAACGUUUCCCCUACCUGCCUGUCCUCCAGCACCAUCUCCAAAAUCUCAUCCGCUGCUGCCUCCUGGGACACCUGAGGAACUUCAAUCCCGGUCUCUCUACUUGUCUCCGAGACAGCUGCCCUCAAGUCUUUCCCUGCCUGUGGUCUCAUGCCAUCCCUCAUCAAGAGGUCAAGUCUCCUCCUUGGCUUCUCUUGAAUCUGUGCAGGCCCUGAUGACUUGUGUGACUACUAGGAAGUAGCAGAAGUGACAUUCUCUGACUUUCCAAUCGAGGUUAAAAAAAAAAAAAUCUUGCUGCUUCCAUCUGGAUCUCUUGGAAGUGAGUGGUGAGGUGAUGAGUGUGAUUAUUCUGAGACUACUGUUCUAUGAGAGGCACUGGAGGAGAGAGAGGACAAGGAGGACCAAGGCACUAUGUGUGCAGAAGGAGCCUCAUCUCAGAAGUGGGUCCUCAAGUCUCAGCCUCAACACUGACACCACAGGGCUCAGAGCCCAGCAGCCUGGAGGAGACCUUCUUAAAUUUCUGAUUCCACACAGCAUUCAGGCAAAAUAAAAUGAUUUUUUUAAACA